rnacentral:lncRNA from 1 species
CCAGAAGAUUUGAACCUUUUCAACUCGUAUUCUCUGUUUGUAAGCAUCUUAUCGUUUCCUUUUGCGUUUCCUCUGACAUUUCACAGAUUGAAAUCAAUGGAACGUUAGAAGAAAGUGACGUUUUCUUUCUAAAUUUCUUGACGUUAUAGUUUCUCAGUUAGCAUUUAAUGAUACUGAUAUCUCACAUAGGCUAGGAGUGCAGGAUCUAGGCAGUGACAAAACUCACCGAGAGGCUAUGAGCUUUAACGUGAAACAAUACCUUUUGAAGAGCCAACCAUGUAGCGGAUCCAGGCCAACAUAUCAACAUCUUUCUUGCAGAGAGGAAAAUGAUGAUGGUCUAGUGAAGGUUAAUCAAUUCCAUUAGCGAACAUGGUAAUGAUAACUGUGCAAGAAACUGAUAGUUUCCUUUUCUCUAUGUUUGUUAUCUAACAUCUCAAGUUCAGAAAUGCAAAUCAUGUUAUAUGGAUUAUCAAAUGGAUUGUCAAUUAUGAUAUAGAUUGCUUUCAUAAAUACAAACCAGAGAGUUCAAAAGCUCUCUGGCUUGUGUAUAAUGUCUCCGCCUGUGUUUUAGCUUUCAGCUUCCCCUUUUGAUAAUAAAUGAACAGAUGGAAUCUCUAGUAGUUUUCGUACUGUCAUUCGUUAUUAAGUAUUGGUGGCAAUUUUUCAAUGACAUACUAUGGAUAGGGGACUUGCUUGUCAACGUUCUCACAUUGGAUUGCUGCUUGUUCUACCACGGUAUCCUUUCUUUCCCAGCUUUGCUUGUGGUUACUGCGAAGUACAUCAAUGAGUAAACUGAAGCUCAUCGAGGAAGUUAUUUCAUUUAUGGUUGUGGGUUAUGACAAAACAUUGUGUAUGUACAGAAGGCACAUAUCUUAUAUACUGAUUUGGAUACCCCUGCAACAGCUCUGUACCAUGCUACUGCAAUGACGGCCGUUGGAUAGUAAAACUAUGAAUGCCCCAUGUCAAGUUGCAAGACAAAGGCAGCAUAUUAUUCUUGAUCAAGCAGGAGUCCUUUAUCAGGAAUGAUUUGCAGAGAAGGAUGAGGCUGCACUGUGGUUAGACCAAACAAAAACUCUCCAAAAAGGCCGUUGCUUGCGCUUUGGAAGACUUGCCAUCAGCUCAGAUUCCGAUCUCCUUAGUAUUUCCCACAUCACUUGCACAUCCUCAUAUCCACAGGUCUGUACAUCAUUGUGAAGCUCCAGAAGACCAGCGCCUGCACAAAACAUAGAGGAGAAGAACUUGUGAGUAAUUUUCCAUUGAAUACAUGUAUUACCUAAUGCCGAAGAGUAAUCAUAAAUGAAGUCGUGGCCCAAUUGUUCGACCAUACAACAAAAAAAAUAAAUGACAUUAAUCAUCUGACACCCCAAGUGGUUGGGAUAUAAAACUAGUAAGGUCUCGGUGGUGGUCCAAAAUCCUAGUACCAAAAGGACCAAGGAG